UCAAUGAAUUCUUGUGAAUGUGUCUCUGCUUCCCACAUGAGCUCACAAAGCCCUCCCUGCUCUUGUUGGUUGGAAUAAAAGCUUCUAUUCAGGCCCUCCCUGUAAUCUCGGCAGGUCCCUCUCACCCUCUGGAAUUCUUAUGCGAGGCACGAGUUAAAUUCAGCCAGCUAAGCUUAGCAAGAGCUGGAAAGAAAGCAGCAUGUUUUGAGUGACCUGUUAACAGGACAUCCAAUAAACCACCACUACUGACACACACUGUCUCUCAGCAAUAGAGUCCUCACACAGAAAGCAGGCCUCUGUAUGGAUGUGGGGCCCAUGCAGGGCAGACAACAGUUUCUCUUAUAGUAAUUAUAUGUAUUCUGCAAUUCACCCUUCUGGCUAACAAGAUGCCCAAGAUGACUGCUGAUGAAAAACAGCCCCACAGCAUAAUGCAACCACCAUCAUUUCAUGGCAGAUUGUAUCACUGACAUUCAUGUUCCUGGCCAUUGUCCACUUUAAAGACUUGUUUCCCCUACUUCGCAUAAACUAAUACAGUGAAACCCAACCAGUGGCUCAUGAACAACAAGUUGCUCACCAAUCCCUUCAAUGUGACUCCCAGUGGCAUUAAAGAGUGUAACUACAGAGGAAGCCGACACAGCUGCAGGGGAGCCCAGGAGUGUAGGUGGUCCAGUUAGCCCCAAAGUAAUAAGCAAUUUCAAUAUAUCUUGGUAAAAUAGGUCAGUAUGGAAUAAGUUCUGGGGCCCUAUAUUGAAUUUGCUGUGGGGUUCAAUAACAUCUAGUUAUGCCACUGAUAUAUUGGAUGGUUAUUUAAAGUGAUGUUUAAUAAUGAGACUUACUUUAUAACACAGGAAAUAGUUUCCCAUAAUGUUGCUGUGCUAUGUGAUAUAGGACUUGCUUUGAUGCACCAGCCUAGCUGCAAAGGAUCUUUAGCAGUGUGUGCCAUGCUUGACUAAGCAUUUGUCAUUGUUGUCCAACUUGAUACCUAAGGGCUCUAAGAUGAGGCUCUGACAAAAUUUUUAUUGCUCCCAGUGCGCACUAUUUUUUUUUUACAUUAUCAUUUCAAUAUUGUCUUUUCUACAAACAUGUAUACACUAGAUGGCAUCCAGAUAUAAGCUGGCUUUACAGUUGGCAAUCAAGUCUAUGUAACCUGUGCAGACCAAAUUGCACGGAUCUGAUUAUUUUACCCCCAAGAUAAAGAUUGGUGUUAUAUGGGCCCAGUGGGAGUGGAAGACAUCUAUGAUUUGCUGUGGUCCUUGUCCAAUGGGAUUUCUUUACCCAGAAUGACGGAUAUGAAGGCCCAUUAAACUGUCCAAGAGUGGCCUAGUCCAUGUAUGACCACCUUUAUCUAUAAGUUCUGCCUUUUGAAUCUCUUCAGGAUUACAGAUGUGCUGGCAUUUAAAUAUUAUCUAUGCAUAAAUGUUUUCACUGUGGAGGAUGCUUACAUUUAGAACAGGUGUUUUAGAAGAAAGGGGGAGUCUUAUGCUGUCCUUCCGUAAACAACAGCAAGGCUACAUGGACGUGUCUCAGUUCCCAAUACACCAUUAAUUAAACAAAAAAAUUGGGUCCCAUAGCCUAUUUCUCAUAAAAAUUCCCAAGUUUUAAUUAGCAUGAAUAACAAUGUUAUUGUUGGUACAUACUGACCCUGUAUGAUCCACCUUGUGUUUAAACACCUAUGACUAAGUGCCGGAGGGUAGGAAAAGCAUGAGGUGUUUUAGAAGCUCAAACAACCUCUAACAGAAACACCAUUCUAUGCAGGGUAGGACUGGGGAGCCCGGGGCCCACUGGGACCUACUGUCCAGGGCCCCACUCUGAUCGACCGUAACGCGUCCCCUACAGUGACACCGAGGGCGCAUGCAUAGAGGUGCCUCGCGCAUGCGCAGUUUUCGCUGAGCGGCUGCUUCUGGGCCCAUCAGGUUUUUUUCCGGUCUCCUGCCGGGCCAGUCCGACACUGAUUCUAUGGGAUCUAAUGGCAGCCCCAAUGGCAUUUUCCAUGAUACGUGUAUUUGCAGUCCAGUCCUGUGGCACAGCUAGGGUUGCCACCUGGCAUGUAAAAAUGAUGGUUGAUUCCAAUGUUAUUAACAGGGAAAAAAGAUAAAUAUAUAGGAAGGCCGGCAUUUUUUCCCCAGAAAACGUGGCAACCCUAGGCACAGCCUAAACAGCAUGCCAGCCCACUGGGUAAGGAGUCACUCACCACUGCACAGUAGUUGGCCAAAUGUUAAGUACAGCUCCUGAGAGAAAUCUGGCAACUGCUGCGCGUUUGAUUAGAAAUCUAUGAAACCCAUAAGCCAUGAUGACUACAGAGAAAUACCCUGUGUAAUGAACACGACUCGUCUAAUAUUGGGUGGUUGGCGAGCACUUACUGGAGUCUAUACCAUAAAGCACUGCUGCCGACUUCCAUUAAUCCUCCUUAAUUCACCGGAUCAUAAAUGCUCCCCGUACUAUUACUAAGCAUUUCCAGGCCUCGGUAUCCUCCCCACCCCCCACUUAAUAUCC